rnacentral:rRNA from 1 species
GGGGUAUAGUUCUUCGGAAUUAGAGACCGGCGCACGGGUGCGUAACGCGUAUGCAAUCUACCUUUCACAGAGGGAUAGCCCAGAGAAAUUUGGAUUAAUACCUCAUAGUAUAUAGAGUUGGCAUCAACACUAUAUUAAAGUCACAACGGUGAAAGAUGAGCAUGCGUCCCAUUAGCUAGUUGGUAAGGUAACGGCUUACCAAGGCAACGAUGGGUAGGGGUCCUGAGAGGGAGAUCCCCCACACUGGUACUGAGACACGGACCAGACUCCUACGGGAGGCAGCAGUGAGGAAUAUUGGUCAAUGGGCGCAAGCCUGAACCAGCCAUGCCGCGUGCAGGAUGACGGUCCUAUGGAUUGUAAACUGCUUUUGUACGGGAAGAAACAACUCUACGUGUAGAGUCUUGACGGUACCGUAAGAAUAAGGAUCGGCUAACUCCGUGCCAGCAGCCGCGGUAAUACGGAGGAUCCAAGCGUUAUCCGGAAUCAUUGGGUUUAAAGGGUCCGUAGGCGGUUUAGUAAGUCAGUGGUGAAAGCCCAUCGCUCAACGGUGGAACGGCCAUUGAUACUGCUAGACUUGAAUUAUUAGGAAGUAACUAGAAUAUGUAGUGUAGCGGUGAAAUGCUUAGAGAUUACAUGGAAUACCAAUUGCGAAGGCAGGUUACUACUAAUGGAUUGACGCUG